UACGGGGGGGGCAAGCGUUGUUCGGAAUUACUGGGCGUAAAGGGUUCGUAGGUGGCCUGCUAAGUCGGACGUGAAAUCCCUCGGCUCAACCGGGGAACUGCGUCCGAUACUGGUGGGCUCGAGUGCAGGAGAGGAACGCGGAAUUCCAGGUGUAGCGGUGAAAUGCGUAGAUAUCUGGAGGAACACCGGUGGCGAAGGCGGCAUCCUGGACCAAUUCUGACGCUGAGGAGCGAAAGCCAGGGGAGCAAACGGG
rnacentral:rRNA from 1 species